UGUGGUUAGGGGUGAAAUGCCAAUCGAACCCGGAGCUAGCUGGUUCUCCCCGAAAUACGUUGAGGCGUAGCGUCUAGUGCUCCAGCAGGGGGGUAAAGCAACCAUUUCGGUGCGGGCUGCGAAAGCGGUACCAAAUCGAUAUGAACUCUGAAUACCCUGUGUGUAACUAGGCAGUCAGACUGUGGGGGAUAAGCUCCAUAGUCAAGAGGGAAACAGCCCAGACCGCCAGCUAAGGUCCCAAAAUUAACGCUAAGUGAUAAAGGAGGUGGGAUUGCCCAGACAACCAGGAGGUUUGCCUAGAAGCAGCCAUCCUCAAAGGAGUGCGUAAUAGCUCACUGGUCGAGCGAUCCUGCGCCGAAAAUGAACGGGGCUAAGCGUUAUACCGAAGCUGCGGAUAAAUUUAUUUAUGGUAGGGGAGCGUUCUAUGUAGGGUGAAGCGUUAGCGUAAGCGGACGUGGACAGCAUAGAAGUGAGAAUGUCGGCUUGAGUAGCGAAAACAUGGGUGAGAAUCCCAUGCCCCGAAACCCUAAGGGUUCCUCCGGCAGGCUCGUCCGCGGAGGGUUAGUCUGGACCUAAGGCGAGGCCGAAAGGCGUAGUCGAUGGAUAACAGGUCAAUAUUCCUGUACCAGAUGUGUUUUGAGAAGGGGGACGGAGAAGGCUAACCAGGCCAGAUGUUGGUUACUGGUUCAAGCGUUCGAGGCUUUGAGAGAUGGAGAAAACAUCUUGAGCUAAGGCGUGAGUACGAGCUGCUACGGCAGCGAAGUUGGUGAUGUCAUGCUUCCAAGAAAAGCCCUAUACUCGUUAAGACACAAAUGCCAGUACCCGAAACCGACACAGGUGGGGUGGUAGAGAAUACCGAGGGGCGCGAGAUAACUCUCUCUAAGGAACUCGGCAAAAUGGCCCCGUAACUUCGGGAGAAGGGGUGCCAGCGAGAGCUGGUCGCAGUGAAGAGGCGCAAGCGACUGUUUACCAAAAACACAGGUCUCCGCUAAGUCGCAAGACGAUGUAUGGGGGCUGACACCUGCCCAGUGCCGGAAGGUUAAGGAAGCUGGUUAGCUUUUAGUGAAGCUGGCGACUGAAGCCCCGGUGAACGGCGGCCGUAACUAUAACGGUCCUAAGGUAGCGAAAUUCCUUGUCGGGUAAGUUCCGACCCGCACGAAAGGUGUAACGAUUUGCGCGCUGUCUCGGAGAGAGGCUCGGCGAAAUAGAAUUGUCUGUGAAGAUGCGGACUAC
rnacentral:rRNA from 1 species